CACACACACACACCCAAUGGGCUGGGCCUUGGAAUGGGCACUGCCUUGGGCCAUGUUAUGGGCUUUGGAAAGAAACAUGAGGGACAUGGUGGCUAUGGAAUGGGCUCUUCGGGUUACAAGAAACAACACCGUAGGAGAAAGGGCAUCGGUGGUGACCACAGCGGCAGCGACUAUAGCGACAGCAGUGAUGACGAGCGUCGCUGCUAAAUAACUACAGAGUUUGGUGCCUAGCAGCAUGGCUUAGGAGAAGGAAGAAUGUGAAGCUCCUAAUACUAAUUAGGGAGUAUAUGUAUGACAAUAAAUAAGAAGCAAAUUAGCCAUGGCUACUGAAGUUAUGAAACUAUUAUGGAACUUGAGAAUUUAUGUUUGUGUGCUGGUGUAUUACGUUCUAAUAAUGUAACUGUUUAUUCCCUUAGGAAAUAAAUCUAAGAGAAAAUAACCCCAAAAAAAAAAGAAAAAGAGAGGUCUUCUAGUGUGUACUACGUUUUAUGUGUGAUAUAAAAUGCUUGAGUUUAUACUA